GGCACAUUUGUCCAAACCCUUAGAAUUCACGGCAGCAGAGUGAACCCUGAUGCACACUGUGGACUUUGGGCGAUGAAGGUGCGUCCACGCAGCUCAUCGACUGUAACAAAGAGCAGACUGUGUGUCCUGUGUCCUGAAAACCACGUCCCAAGCAUCGCAAAUACUCAAAACACCUUGAUGAGAGGUGUGCUUACAACGAGGAGCUACGGGACUCUGAUGGGUUCCUGCCUUCUCCCCGCUCCGCCUCAUUCCCGGGGGAAACGCCAACCGUCCGACCGACCGUCCAACCGACCGACCGUCUGACCGACCGUGGGGACAUUAUCUCAAAACGACUGUCGAAUGAACACGCUCAGCAGUUAGAGGCCCCAUCAGAGCCACUGACCUCCUGACCCGGCUCACGGAGGAGCCGUCCGCCCUCCCCUCGGCCGGCACCACACCAGCCGCCCUGCGUCUUACGAAAAGGCCAGCCCGGCCGGCGUGGCUCAGUGAUCGACCAUCGACCUACGAACCAGGAGGUCAGAGUUCGACUCCCGGUCAGGCACAUGCCCGGGU